rnacentral:rRNA from 1 species
GAUGAACGCUGGCGGCGUGCCUAAUACAUGCAAGUCGAGCGAACAGAUAAGGAGCUUGCUCCUUUGACGUUAGCGGCGGACGGGUGAGUAACACGUGGAUAACCUACCUAUAAGACUGGGAUAACUUCGGGAAACCGGAGCUAAUACCGGAUAACAUAUUGAACCGCAUGGUUCAAUAGUGAAAGGCGGCUUUGCUGUCACUUAUAGAUGGAUCCGCGCCGUAUUAGCUAGUUGGUAAGGUAACGGCUUACCAAGGCAACGAUACGUAGCCGACCUGAGAGGGUGAUCGGCCACACUGGAGCUGAGACACGGUCCAGACUCCUACGGGAGGCAGCAGUAGGGAAUCUUCCGCAAUGGGCGAAAGCCUGACGGAGCAACGCCGCGUGAGUGAUGAAGGUCUUCGGAUCGUAAAACUCUGUUAUCAGGGAAGAACAAAUGUGUAAGUAACUGUGCACAUCUUGACGGUACCUGAUCAGAAAGCCACGGCUAACUACGUG